GGAGGCAGCAGAGCUUGCUUCGCCUGCUGUCCAUUGAUCAGUGGAGAGGUUGGUAGACUUUAAAGAUCAGUGUAGAAACUGGUGGAGAGCAGAGACAAGGGGAUGGAUAGAAGAGGAGGAUGCUGGGGUUCUGCAGAGGAGGGAGAAAAGAAAGACAGAAAGAUGCAAAUUGAGUGAGGAAACAGAUGAGGGCAAGAAUUAAAGAGGCAGAUCACAGCAGCUGGGGUUGUCCUGGGUUUUUACAGUCUGGAUACAGCUUGCCGAACAACUAUCAGACAAAGCGAAGACAACUCUUCAUGGGGAGUGAAGGAAACAUCUUCCAGAGUCCAUUUGCAGCAGUCAAAAUGGACGCCGCCGGCUAAGCUGUUGGUCAUUUUGUUUUCAGCUUUGAAGCACAGAGACUUUUUAGCCCUGGGAGGCAAAGAGGGAGACAAGGAGGGAAAUUAACUAUGACUUUAAUAUUUAAUGUGUCAACAAGGUCAAAACUUCUAAAGCCAUUUUAUUAAGCUAAAUGCUAAUAUUAGCAUGCUAAUGGAAGCAAUGCUAUCAGUUGGUAUUGUUCUGUUUUUAAGAUAAUUUUCUCCUUCGUCGUACAAAUUGUAAAAUAAAAGAGCUAGUUCAAGUUGGAUUAAUACUUUGAGGACCACAAAUGUCCCCCAAUUUAUUUUGUGGUCCUUUGGUUCUCACAGUGCCAAACUGAAAGCAUAGCACUCUGUCAAGUUUCGGCCCCAAAAACAUACAAAAUCUAUUCAUAGUAGCUCUGUCACAUAGGAGCACACAUGGUGGAGUUUUCUGUUAGCACCAUCAACCAUAGUCUCACCUGGGAUGUGACAGGAAGUGUGAAAAUGGUCUAAUAAGUCCUGCAGAGCUGGUGUCUUACACAUAAAAUUGUAUCCAGCAAACAACUUUCUCCACAUAUGUUGCAAAGGAAAUUGACUGUUUACAAGUGGAAAUAGAUGUCUGGACAUUGUUUCCUGUUUCACUAUACAUUUCAACAAAGGCUAGUUUUUUUUGUGAUAUGAAAAAAGGAAAUCUGUAUUUAAAGUUGUCAUAUCUGCAAGGUUUCUCACAUCCUUACCUGUACUCUAUCAGCGGUGGACUCGGCAUGGAGUCCUUUUUCUCCUCAUUAUUUCGGGUGCCCAGCAGUUGCUCAGUAGUCAGUGUAGAUCCUGUGGGGCUGGCAGCAGCUACAUCUGGCUACUGGGUCUCUGUCGACACCUUCAAGUCAGAUAUGCAAGUGUUUCCUAAUGUUCAUGUCCUUUCUGAUGCAGCGUUUCUAUGAGGUUUGCAUCUUUAAUGCUCACCUGAUGUAAAAAAAAAGCCUAAAACUGGAUUAGUUCUGAACCUGGCAUACAGUGUAGGAUUCUGUGUGUGUCAGUCUACAGCUACAUUGUCUGCUGGGUUUCAGACCUAUACUCCAAUUCUGUUAACUUCCAUCCAUGCAAAGGUGUUUUGUAGUGUUUAAGAAAAUGGAAAAAAAAAAAGGAUAAUUUGACAACUUUGUGUUUAUUGACUCAUAAAACAUUCUUCAAACAAUAAAACAAUUUUAAAUGUC